rnacentral:lncRNA from 1 species
UAUUUACCCGGGCACUAUUCACCCGGAGUACUCUUCAUGACAAAAAUUAAUUUAUUUUCGAUCCAAAUCAUUUUUGAUAUAAUAUCAUUCUUUAAUUUUACUCCACAAAGCAGUAUCAUGUUGGCAAUUUGAAUAUUAUUGAAUUCUGGAUAAAUUAAAUUAUAAAUCUUUAAAAAUUUAUCCUUUAUUUUUUUUAAUUGAAUUCUUAUAUCAUUGUCAUCAUCCUCAUGCUUAUAUUGUGAUGAAAGUCAUCUUUAGCUUACGUGCAUAGAUGGACUGUUGAUUGGUAUGAUUAUGACUAGGGAUCGUUCGAUAUAAUCAUGACCCGUAAUGUUACAAAUGAUAUGGUAAAAGUCCUUAUUGGCUAGUAGUGCAUUGAUGGACAGUUGUUGGUAUGAUUAUGACCAGGGAUUAUUCGG